CAGUAGCCGCGGUAAAACGGAGGAUCCAAGCGUUAUCCGGAAUCAUUGGGUUUAAAGGGUCCGUAGGCGGUCUUGUAAGUCAGUGGUGAAAGCCCAUCGCUCAACGGUGGAACGGCCAUUGAUACUGCAGGACUUGAAUUAUUGGGAAGUAACUAGAAUAUGUAGUGUAGCGGUGAAAUGCUUAGAGAUUACAUGGAAUACCAAUUGCGAAGGCAGGUUACUACCAAUUGAUUGACGCUGAUGGACGAAAGCGUGGGUAGCGAACAGGAUUAGAUACCCCUGUAGUCCCUGUCUCUUAUAC
rnacentral:rRNA from 1 species